rnacentral:rRNA from 1 species
CCUACGGGAGGCAGCAGUGGGGAAUAUUGCACAAUGGGGGAAACCCUGAUGCAGCGACGCCGCGUGAGUGAAGAAGUAUUUCGGUAUGUAAAGCUCUAGCAGCAGGGAAGAAAAUGACGGUACCUGAGUAAGAAGCCCCGGCUAACUACGUGCCAGCAGCCGCGGUAAUACGGAGGGGGCAAGCGUUAUCCGGAUUUACUGGGUGUAAAGGGAGCGUAGACGGCAGAACAAGUCUGGAGUGAAAUGCCGGGGCUUAACCCCGGAACUGCUUUGGAAACUGUGCAGCUAGAGUGCAGGAGAGGUAAGUGGCAUUCCUAGUGUAGCGGUGAAAUGCGUAGAUAUUAGGAGGAACACCAGUGGCGAAGGCGGCUUACUGGACUGUACCUGACGUUGAGGCUCGAAAGCGUGGGGAGCAAACAGGAUUAGAUACCCUAGUAGUC